AUGGAGAGGCAAACUUGGAAAGAAAAGAUGCUCAACAAGAAUGACGAUGAAGUUGAAGAUGACUCAGACGAAGAUGAGACUUGUGGCCAUGGUAGCGGGUUGAUCAGCAUAAAAUUUGAAGAAAAUGAGAAACACAAGGUCAAGACAGCUGGGAGUACUGGAAAAAAAUCAGGAUCCGGUAGUGGAGGUGGAGGUGGAGCGUCGUCGGCACCGAGUUGUCAAGCUGAUAGGUGUGGUGUUGAUCUAGGUGAUGCAAAGAUCUACCAUCGCCGCCAUAAGGUUUGUGAGUUUCACUCCAAGGCAGCUGUUGUGGUCGUUUCCGGUGCUCGACAGAGGUUUUGUCAGCAAUGCAGCAGGUUCCAUGAGGUAGCUGAGUUUGAUGAAACAAAGAGAAGCUGUCGCCGACGCUUGGCAGGUCACAAUGAGAGGCGCCGCAAGAGUUCAGGUGAACCUUAUGGAGAGGGCUCAAGCCGCAGGAGUAUCAGUCAUCAAUACCGAUCAGAGAGUACACCGGCUACUACUAAAUAUCAUAUGACAACCCCAGCCCCCAGGAAACUCUGCUAAUUCGAAGCAUUUCCAGAUCAGAUAAUUAAAGUCUGCGCUAAUUGUCUCUCUGCUCUCUAGCUCCCUCUCUUCUGUCAUCCAUGGCUUCGUUUAUAUGAUCUACCAUAUGACUGUUCUUAUAUAUGCUUAACAAUGAGACUAGUGUUCCUAUUCGAGGGGAUUAUAUAAGUA